GGAGGGUGGGCGGGACGGUAACGCGCUAGUCUUGAAAACUAGUGGGAGCAAUCCCUAACAGGUUCGACCCCUGUACCCUCCG
rnacentral:tRNA from 2 species